rnacentral:rRNA from 1 species
UACGUAGGGUGCGAGCGUUGUCCGGAAUUAUUGGGCGUAAAGAGCUUGUAGGCGGUUUGUCGCGUCUGCCGUGAAAAUCCGGGGCUCAACCCCGGACUUGCGGUGGGUACGGGCAGACUAGAGUGUGGUAGGGGAGACUGGAAUUCCUGGUGUAGCGGUGAAAUGCGCAGAUAUCAGGAGGAACACCGGUGGCGAAGGCAGGUCUCUGGGCCACUACUGACGCUGAGAAGCGAAAGCGUGGGGAGCGAACAGG